UACUGCAUGAACCGGUGUUCGUCUCUAGUCAUGACCAUCUCGAGUACUGCUGUGCAUCUGCACUUUAGUUUCAAGAUGGGCAUUGCUGGAUUCGUUCUGAGAUUAUACGGUUUCGAACUUGAUCAGGAUAAUACCUGCGUAAAGGAUCAUGCACUGCUCUGCU
rnacentral:ncRNA from 16 species